AACGAACGCUGGCGGCAUGCCUAAUACAUGCAAGUCGAACGAGAUCUUCGGAUCUAGUGGCGCACGGGUGCGUAACGCGUGGGAAUCUGCCCUUGGGUUCGGAAUAACAUCUGGAAACGGAUGCUAAUACCGGAUGAUGACGUAAGUCCAAAGAUUUAUCGCCCAAGGAUGAGCCCGCGUAGGAUUAGCUAGUUGGUGAGGUAAAGGCUCACCAAGGCGACGAUCCUUAGCUGGUCUGAGAGGAUGAUCAGCCACACUGGGACUGAGACACGGCCCAGACUCCUACGGGAGGCAGCAGUAGGGAAUAUUGGACAAUGGGGGCAACCUUGAUCCAGCAAUGCCGCGUGAGUGAUGAAGGCCUUAGGGUUGUAAAGCUCUUUUACCCGGGAUGAUAAUGACAGUACCGGGAGAAUAAGCCCCGGCUAACUCCGUGCCAGCCGCCGCGGUAACAC
rnacentral:rRNA from 1 species